GACGCCGCGUGAGUGAGGAAGGCCUUCGGGUCGUAAAGCUCUGUCAGCAGGGAAGAAGUGCAUGAUGGCUAAUAUCCAUUGUGUUUGACGGUACCUGCAAAGGAAGCACCGGCUAACUCCGUGCCAGCCACGGCGGUGACUGAGCGGGCUGGCAAGGCGCAUA
rnacentral:rRNA from 1 species